rnacentral:rRNA from 1 species
GAUGAACGCUAGCGGCAGGCUUAAUACAUGCAAGUCGUGGGGCAGCAGGUUUGUAGCAAUACAGAUGCUGGCGACCGGCAAACGGGUGCGGAACACGUACAGAACCUUCCUUUGAGCGGGGAAUAGCCCAGAGAAAUUUGGAUUAAUACCCCAUAGUAUAAUGAAAGUGGCAUCACUUUAUUAUUAAAGAUUUAUCACUCGAAGAUGGCUGUGCGGCUGAUUAGGUAGUUGGCGGGGUAAAGGCCCACCAAGCCUGCGAUCAGUAACUGGUGUGAGAGCACGACCAGUCACACGGGCACUGAGACACGGGCCCGACUCCUACGGGAGGCAGCAGUAAGGAAUAUUGGUCAAUGGAGGCAACUCUGAACCAGCCAAUGCCGCGUGGAGGAUGAAGGUCCUCUGGAUUGUAAACUUCUUUAUAUGGGACGAAAAAAGGCUUUUCUAAGUCGUCUGACGGUACCAUAUGAAUAAGCACCGGCUAACU